rnacentral:rRNA from 1 species
AGAGCGAACGCUGGCGGCAGGCUUAACACAUGCAAGUCGAGCGGGCGUAGCAAUACGUCAGCGGCAGACGGGUGAGUAACGCGUGGGAACGUACCUUUUGGUUCGGAACAACACAGGGAAACUUGUGCUAAAUACCGGAUAAGCCCUUACGGGGAAAGAUUUAUCGCCAAAAGAUCGGCCCGCGUCUGAUUAGCUAGUUGGUGAGGUAACGGCUCACCAAGGCGACGAUCAGUAGCUGGUCUGAGAGGAUGAUCAGCCACAUUGGGACUGAGACACGGCCCAAACUCCUACGGGAGGCAGCAGUGGGGAAUAUUGGACAAUGGGCGCAAGCCUGAUCCAGCCAUGCCGCGUGAGUGAUGAAGGCCCUAGGGUUGUAAAGCUCUUUGUGCGGGAAGAUAAUGACGGUACCGCAAGAAUAACGCCCGCUAACUUCGCGCCAGCAGCCGC